GUUCUCACUGAACCUAUGCCAAUUUUGUGAUGUGUGGCUGAGCUACUUAUGUUUGGCUUAUGAACUGGUCAUUCCAAAAGUUUGGAACUUGGUAUAUAGGUUCGGUUCACCAGUGAAAAAGCAACAUCCAGUGCAAAGCUGUAAAAGAAGCCCAAACCCUUCAGUCUCUCCUGAACCAAUACUCUGACUCCAGACCACGUUUACAGGAUGUCUGUGAUAUAUUUGAAAAUGCUGAGCUGCACUGAGCACUGCUGAUCUCCCAGUUUCUCACAUGAGGACAGCAAAUAUCUCAGGGUCUAACCUUUCUACAAAGAUCAACAAAGACCUCUCUGCUAUGGAACGUACUGCAGAACAAGCUUUCUGGAUCUGCAAACACUUAAAUGACUCCUGAAGUGAGAAGAAUUUUCUUUGGUUAAACAAGAACACUGCGCAGACUGAGCAACUGAGGAAAGGAGGAGACCUCAAGGUAAUUUUGUUGGAGCAGAUUUCCUGGUACGUGCUUCUAAAACUUAACCUCAAACUUGUCUCCUGAGGAUCCCCAUCUCCCCAUGACAUGGUUGAUAUAGCUUGUCUCCUGUGCUUCAAGUGUUUGUGAUGUUGUAAAUCAAAUUUGGAAAGUCACAGGUAUAUUCAGUCUUUUGUAGUGAUUUAGGAGAAAGUUUGUGUUCUAAAAACAGAACUUGGAUGCAGCUUAAGCCAUGCUGCAUGCUUGCUGUACUUUAAAUGCUGUAAUAAUUACUUUUAAACUUUGGCACUCAAGUUCCAUAUUUGUUAAAAGCACAGAUGAAGCACUCAAGUCACCAGUGCACAGGAUUUCACUUGUUUCAUCUGUUUGAUCUAGCAGAAACUGUGGGAUGAUCCAUAACCACACAAAGUAUGUUUUAAAACAGGUAGAGAAAAAUAACUUACGUUGGUUGUGAUUUAAAGUAGUUGAGGGGAUCACAAAUAUGAUAUUUUAUGUAUAUGGGUAAUAGAAGACGAAACAGGAAUGUUUUACACAGUGGCUAUGUCAAAGCAUUCAAGUUUUCUGAUCUUCCUCAAAACAUGGCAGUUUUGUUUAUGAAUCCCAGUCGAUUUUAUGCAAUCAACUUUUUCAUGUCAAAGUCAAGUCAAAGUAGAAUCAGUUGCAUUGUUGCUGGCGCUAGAAGGUUUUCAGCCCUAGUGGUUAUAAGUGGUCCUUGAAUUAUGCAACUUUCUUUUU